GACGAACGCUGGCGGCGUGCUUAACACAUGCACGUCGAGCGGAGCGGCGAACGGGUGAGUAACGCGUGAGUAACUGCCCCCCUCUCUGGGAUAACAGUUGGAAACGGCUGCUAAUACCGGAUAGUGGGGGCUGAAUCGCGUCCUAUCAGAGUGUUGGUAGGGUAGUGGCCUACCAAGGCGACGACGGGUAGGCGGCCUGAGAGGGCGACCGGCCACAUUGGGCUGAGAUACGGCCCAAACUCCUACGGGAGGGAGCAGUGGGGAAUAUUGGACAAUGUGCGAAAGCCUGAUGCAGCGACGCCGCGUGGGGGAUGAAGGCUUUCGGGUUGUAAACCUCUUUCGCUAUCGAACGGGUAGGUGGAGAAGAAGCGCCGGCUAACUACGUGCCAGCAGCCGCGGUAAUUC
rnacentral:rRNA from 1 species